CGAGAGGCUUCGGCAAUGGGGGAAACCCUGACCGAGCGACGCCGCGUGGGCGAUGAAGGCCGUUAGGUUGUAAAGCCCUGUCGAGCGGGAAAAAGUGUAGGCAGGUGAACAAUCUGCUUAUUUGAUGGUACCGUUAAAGGAAGCUCCGGCCAACUCCGUGCCAGCAGCCGCGGUAAUACGGGGGGAGCGAACGUUGUUCGGAAUUACUGGGCGUAAAGGGCGUGCAGGCGGUCCUGUAAGAGAUGUGUGAAAUGCCCUGGCUCAACCAGGGAAAUGCACCUCUGACUGCAGGACUUGAGUAUAGGAGAGGAUGGGGGAAUUCCCGGUGUAGCGGUGAAAUGCAUUGAUAUCGGGAGGAACACCAGUGGCGAAGGCGCCCAUCUGGCCUAAUACUGACGCUCAGGCGCGAAAGCUAGGGGAGCAAAC
rnacentral:rRNA from 1 species